GGGGGCGAUACGGGUUCGACGGCAAGAGCAGGCAAAGGGAAGCAUGCCGUAGAAGGCCACUACGUAAAAAACCAAAACAAAACAAUUCCCGAACGCGAAAUCGCUCUCGCUGCUUAAUUAACGCAGCGACGUCCUACCCGGUUUGCCUGUAGGCUGGGAUAGGGCGUAAGACAUACAGGAUAGGAGGUUGCCAACCUCCCCUGAGGUAACCUCCGAAACUCUACGGGGAUAGCUUCUCUCCUCCUGCCUGUGGGAAAGAGAGAAGCGAAACUCAAACACAGGCUAAGCAUGUAGAUGCCCUACUGCUUAGGCUCUUGUCGGACGGGGGUUCGAUUCCCCCCGCCUCCACUC
rnacentral:tmRNA from 23 species